CCCCUAGAUGUUCUGGGCCGCACGCGCGCUACACUGAACAGUUCAACAAGUCUUAACCUUGGCAGAUAGGUCUGGGUAAUCUUUGAACGCUGUUCGUGAUUGGGAUAGACCUUUGCAAUUAUGGGUCUUCAACGAGGAAUUCCUAGUAAACGCAAGUCAUCAGCUUGCAUUGAUUACGUCCCUGCCCUUUGUACACACCGCCCGUCGCACCUACCGAUUGAAUGGUCCGGUGAAAUCUCGGGACGGCGGCUUGGUCGCUUGCGUCCGACUGCUGAAACUUGAUUAAACCAUAUCAUUUAGAGGAAGGUGAAGUCGUAACA
rnacentral:rRNA from 1 species